GACGAACGCUGGCGGCGUGCUUAACACAUGCAAGUCGAACGGAAAGGCCUUUUCGGAGGUACUCGAGCGGCGAACGGGUGAGUAACACGUGGGUGAUCUGCCCUGCACUCUGGGAUAAGCCUGGGAAACUGGGUCUAAUACCGGAUAGGACCGCACUUUAGUGUGUGUGGUGGCAAGUUUUUUCGGUGUAGGAUGAGCCCGCGGCCUAUCAGCUUGUUGGUGGGGUAAUGGCCUACCAAGGCGGCGACGGGUAGCCGGACUGAGAGGUUGGUCGGCCACAUUGGGACUGAGAGACGGCCCAGACUCCUACGGGAGGCAGCAGUGGGGAAUAUUGCACAAUGGGCGCAAGCCUGAUGCAGCGACGCCGCGUGGGGGAUGACGGCCUUCGGGUUGUAAACUCCUUUCGCCAGGGACGAAGCGUUUUGUGACGGUACCUGGAGAAGAAGCACCGGCUAACUACGUG
rnacentral:rRNA from 1 species